CUGUGUUUCCUCCCUUGCUGUUCGCUUCUCAGGGAGCACCAGUGUUUUGUAGUACCUGUUCUCUCCUGAACUCACUCUUACUGAGAUACAAAUGCACUCUUCUAAGAUUUUACUUAUUUUUUGAGAGGUGGAGUUAUAGAUUGUGAGAGGGAGAGACAGAGAAAGGACUUCCAUCCACUGGUUCACUUCCCAAACGGCCACAAAGGCAGGAGUUGAGCUAUCUGAAGCCAGAAGCCGCGUCUGGGUCUCCCAGGACGUGAGUAUGAAGAAAAACCUAAGUGAAGAUGAGAGAAAUGAGAACACACAGGAAGCUACAACCCAUCUCAGGAGCCCCUGCUAAUGGCUCAGAAAAUGGAUUUCUGAAUGCAAACUAGGACUCAUUAUGGAAGAGUGCAUUCUCUUCAGGUCUGACUCCCCUGUUCAGAUGCAGGAUCCUCUAAGCCAGGACCAAGAGCAGAGUCUUUUUUUUCUCUUUAAAGAUUUAUUUACUUAUUUGAGAGAAAGAGUUACAGACAAAGAGAGGGAGAAACAAAGAUCUUCUAUCCGCUGGUUUACUCCCCAGAUGGAAGCAACAACUGGAGCUGCGCUGAUCUGAAGCCAGGAGCCAGGAGCUUCUUCCCAGUCUCCCACGUGGGUGCAGGGGCCCAAACACUUGGGCCAUCCUCUGCCGUUUUCCCAGGCACAUUAACAGGGAGCUGGAUCAGAAGUGGAGCUGCCAAGACUUGAACUGGUGCCCAUAGGGGAUGCUAGUGCCAUAGGCAGAGGCUUAGAACUAUGCCAUAGCGCCUGCCCCAGAGCAAGGGCUU